GUCCCUGCAGCGCGAUGGUUAGCGCGUUGAAUUUCUAAUCUAAAGGUGGUGGGUUCGAAUCCCACCUGGGAUG